rnacentral:rRNA from 1 species
AGAGUUUGAUCCUGGCUCAGAAUGAACGCUGGCGGCAGGCUUAACACAUGCAAGUCGAACGGUAACAGAAAGAAAGCUUGCUUUCUUUGCUGACGAGUGGCGGACGGGUGAGUAACGCGUGGGAAUCUACCCAAUAGUCGGGGACAACCUAUGGAAACGUAGGCUAAUACCGGAUAUGAUCUGCGGAUUAAAGGUGGCCUCUUCUUGAAAGCUUUCGCUAUUGGAUGAGCCCGCGUGAGAUUAGCUAGUUGGUAAGGUAAUGGCUUACCAAGGCGACGAUCUCUAGCUGGUUUGAGAGGAUGAUCAGCCACACUGGGACUGAGACACGGCCCAGACUCCUACGGGAGGCAGCAGUGGGGAAUAUUGCACAAUGAAGGAAACUUUGAUGCAGCCAUGCCGCGUGUGUGAAGAAGGCCCGAGGGUUGUAAAGCACUUUCAAUUGUGAGGAAGAAUAAGUUAGUAAUAUUGACUUAUUUUGACGUUAACUUUAGAAGAAGCACCGGCUAACUCUGUGCCAGCAGCCGCGGUAAUACAGAGGGUGCAAGCGUUAUUCGGAAUUACUGGGCGUAAAGCGCGCGUAGGCGGACGAUUAAGUCAGUUGUGAAAGCCCUGGGCUCAACCCAGGAACUGCAUCUGAUACUGGUCAUCUAGAAUCUAAGAGAGGGAAGGGGAAUUCCAGGUGUAGCAGUGAAAUGCGUAGAUAUCUGGAGGAACAUCAGUGGCGAAGGCGCCUUCCUGGCUUAAGAUUGACGCUGAGGUGCGAAAGCGUGGGUAGCGAACGGGAUUAGAUACCCCGGUAGUCCACGCCGUAAACGAUGUCAACUCGUUGUUGGUCCUAUUAAAAGGAUUAGUAACAAAGCUAACGCGAUAAGUUGACCGCCUGGGGAGUACGGUCGCAAGAUUAAAACUCAAAGGG